rnacentral:rRNA from 1 species
CCUACGGGGGGCAGCAGUGGGGGAUAUUGCACAAUGGGGGGAACCCUGAUGCAGCGACGCCGCGUGAAGGAAGAAGUAUCUCGGUAUGUAAACUUCUAUCAGCAGGGAAGAAAAUGACGGUACCUGACUAAGAAGCCCCGGCUAACUAUGUGCCAGCAGCCGCGGUAAUACAUAGGGAGCAAGCGUUAUCCGGAUUUAUUGGGUGUAAAGGGUGCGUAGACGGGAAAUUAAGUUAGUUGUGAAAUCCCUCGGCUUAACUGAGGAACUGCAACUAAAACUGGUUUUCUUGAGUACUGGAGAGGAAA